GUUUGAUUAUCUCUACUGCUUUUCUUAGUUGGGAGAGUUUUGUUACACUAUGGAAUAUUGCUGCUAAUGAACAUUUUAGAUGAAAAAUGCUAAAUAAGAAAAGGCCCUACCCUCUAUUAAGAAAUCCUUUAAAACCUAGGCUCAUAUUUUGAUAAUUAAACCUUAGAUCAAAUCUGCAUAAUAGUGACAAUUUCUUCAUUACAUUUUCCAAUGACUCUAUGAAUUAUCUGUUGAUACCCAGGGGUUGGAUUAUUCUAGUUAAUUAUUGUGAUUUUAUGCUAACAUAACACCUUCUAUUCCAGGGAAUUCCUUAAGCAUAGUGAAAACUUCAUCCCCAUCAGUACUUAUGAAUCUCUUUAUUUGUUAAGUGGGAAGGCAGCCUGAGAUAAAUUACCCUGGAUAAUUUUAAUCAAGAACUUAAUUUUAAUGAUCACCUGCUGCACAAAUAAAAUAAGAGAAGCAAUGACACCAUCAUUAUCAAGGAUCUGUUUCUGGGGGGACCCAAACUAAAGCAACACCUGAGAAGAGCCUGUCACUUCUAAAAUAGAAGAGCAUGUGCAGGGCCUGGAAGCAGAGAGGAGCUGCUAUUCACUGGGAAGGUAAGCUCUCCAGUUGGUGUGUGCAUGAAGGUUAAAACUGCUUUUGGAUUAUUUUCC
rnacentral:lncRNA from 1 species